rnacentral:rRNA from 1 species
AGUAACGCGUGGGUAACCUGCCUCAUACAGGGGAGUAACAGUUAGAAAUGACUGCUAAUACCGCAUAGGCGCACAGUGCUGCAUGGCACAGUGUGAAAAACUCCGGUGGUAUGAGAUGGACCCGCGUCUGAUUAGCUAGUUGGUGGGGUAACGGCCUACCAAGGCGACGAUCAGUAGCCGGCCUGAGAGGGUGAACGGCCACAUUGGGACUGAGACACGGCCCAA